rnacentral:rRNA from 1 species
AACGAACGCUGGCGGCAGGCCUAACACAUGCAAGUCGAACGCCGUAGCAAUACGGAGUGGCAGACGGGUGAGUAACGCGUGGGAACAUACCCCUCGGUUCGGAAUAACUCAGGGAAACUUGAGCUAAUACCGGAUACGUCCGAGGUUUUGAUCGACCUUGGAGAAAGAUUUAUCGCCGAAGGAUUGGCCCGCGUCUGAUUAGCUUGUUGGUGAGGUAAUGGCUCACCAAGGCGACGAUCAGUAGCUGGUCUGAGAGGAUGAUCAGCCACAUUGGGACUGAGACACGGCCCAAACUCCUACGGGAGGCAGCAGUGGGGAAUAUUGGACAAUGGGCGAAAGCCUGAUCCA